UGGGGAAUUUUCCGCAAUGGGCGAAAGCCUGACGGAGCAAUACCGCGUGAGGGAGGAAGGCUCUUGGGUUGUAAACCUCUUUUCUCAGGGAAGAAAAAAAUGACGGUACCUGAGGAAUAAGCAUCGGCUAACUCCGUGCCAGCAGCCGCGGUAAUACGGAGGAUGCAAGCGUUAUCCGGAAUGAUUGGGCGUAAAGCGUCCGCAGGUGGUUAUGUAAGUCUGCUGUUAAAUAGUCAUGCUCAACAUGAUAAGGGCAGUGGAAACUACAAGACUAGAGUGCGUUCGGGGCAGAGGGAAUUCCUGGUGUAGCGGUGAAAUGCGUAGAUAUCAGGAAGAACACCGGUGGCGAAGGCGCUCUGCUAGGCCGCAACUGACACUGAGGGACGAAAGCUAGGGGAGCGAAUGGGAUUAGAUACCCCAGUAGUCCUAGCCGUAAACGAUGGAUACUAGGUGUGGCUUGUAUCGACCCGAGCCGUACCGUAGCUAACGCGUUAAGUAUCCCGCCUGGGGAGUACGCACGCAAGUGUGAAACUCAAAGGAAUUGACGGGGGCCCGCACAAGCGGUGGAGUAUGUGGUUUAAUUCGAUGCAACGCGAAGAACCUUACCAAGGCUUGACAUGUCGCGAAUCCCGGAGAAAGCUGGGAGUGCCUUCGGGAGCGCGAACACAGGUGGUGCAUGGCUGUCGUCAGCUCGUGUCGUGAGAUGUUGGGUUAAGUCCCGCAACGAGCGCAACCCUCGUUUUUAGUUGCCAGCAUUAAGUUGGGCACUCUAGAGAGACUGCCGGUGACAAACCGGAGGAAGGUGGGGAUGACGUCAAGUCAGCAUGCCCCUUACGCCUUGGGCUACACACGUACUACAAUGCUCCGGACAGAGGGCAGCAAGCAUGCGAAUGCAAGCUAAUCCCGUAAACCGGAGCUCAGUUCAGAUCGCAGGCUGCAACUCGCCUGCGUGAAGUCGGAAUCGCUAGUAAUUGCAGGUCAGCAUACUGCAGUGAAUUCGUUCCCGGGCCUUGUACACACCGCCCGUCACACCAUGGAAGUUGGUCACGCCCGAAGUCAUUACCCCAACCGAAAGGAGGGGGAUGCCUAAGGCAGGACUGAUGACUGGGGUGAAGUCGUAACAAGGGUAGCCGUACA
rnacentral:rRNA from 1 species